rnacentral:rRNA from 1 species
AGCAGCCGCGGUAAUUCCAGCUCCAAUAGCGUAUAUUAAAGUUGUUGCAGUUAAAAAGCUCGUAGUUGAAUUUCGGGACCAAUUUGUUGGUCGUGCCUCGGUACGUACUGGUAUUAUUGGUUUCUCCCUUCUGAAGAACCUUGAUGUCAUUAAUUUGGUGUCUUGGGGAAUCAGGACUGUUACUUUAGAAAAAAUUAGAGUGUUUAAAGCAGGCAUACGCUUGAAUACAUUAGCAUGGAAUAAUGAAAUAGGACGUUUGAUUCUAUUUUGUUGGUUUCUAGGAUCGACGUAAUGAUUAAUAGGGAUAGUUGGGGGCAUUAGUAUUCAAUUGUCAGAGGUGAAAUUCUUGGAUUUAUUGAAGACUAACUACUGCGAAAGCAUUUGCCAAGGAUGUUUUCAUUAAUCAAGAACGAAAGUUAGGGGAUCGAAGACGAUCAGAUACCGUCGUAGUCUUAACCAUAAACUAUGCCGACUAGGGAUCGGAUGAUGUUAAUUUUUAAUGACUCAUUCGGCGCCUUAC